CAGAUGUCAACAGUGGGUGCAGAAUACCCGCCGACAUGAUCUCCUACAUCGAACUGCGGCGUAUUUGUCUUCAUAACUGCCGUCUUUGUUCUGAGCAUUUCGAACCUAGCCAGUUUAACAACAAGCAGACCAAGAACAGGCUAGUUUGGGAUGCAGUUCCAACGCUCUUUGACAUCCGUAACCCUCCGAAACAACUGUAUACUCAACGCAGGAUACUUGAGAGGAAUAAUGAGAACCUUCCAUCUUCACCGAAGCCUUCAAAGCAGCAAAGGGGCAAGUAGUUUUUAAAUAAACAUUUAAUUUCUCUCUUUUACAAAAUCUAUCACAAUGUAAUAUCCUAACUGAUACAAUUGUCAGUGGCACAAUAUGAAAUGUCAUGUAUGGCACUAACAUUUUCAUGUGUGAGAUCUUUCAGAACAUUCCAGAGCUAACGCCGGAACGCCGCUUGCCAACCGUGUGACUCGGUGGCAUGCGAAUACCAGCCGUGGUGAUAGUGGAGCGGUCAAAGAGGGACCCUGACUGGCACCGGAGCAGCAGACAGCAGCACUUACUAUUUUUUUAACAUGAAUUGGUGUCACACAACAUACAGGCCGACCAUUGUUACUGCUUAGCUGCGGACCGGGUUCGUGAGGAAGGACUUCAAUUCACACCAGAUGCAACUCACAGAGUGUCACACAACAUACAGGCCGACCAUUCUUACUGCUUAGCUUCGGACCAGAUUCAUGAGAAUGUUCUUCAAUUCACACCAGUUGUAAAUCACAGAAGAGCUCUGAAGAAGGAAAGACAGCGUACCUUCCGCCUCAAGAAAAGGGUGCAACAGAUGAAGAAAUCAGCGAGAAGGAGAGCUACAGAAAGCUUGAUCAGUUUAGAUUUUUUACAAGAGCCAUUAAAGUCUUUUUUUGAAUCACAAUUGCGGAAUGCGCCAGGGCGUAGAAGCGCAAGAGGAAGACGAUGGGAUUAUGCAGACAAGAUACUUGCCUUGUCCCUCUACCACAAGAGUCCCAGCACAUAUCAGCUGUACCAGAGCAUAUUCACACUUCCAUCAAUUUCAUCGCUGCGUAGAUGGUUGUGUAAUGUCAAAGUAAGACCAGGAUUUCCCACUAAGAUCUUCGCGCUUUGGAAGGACAGGGUAGCAGGCAUGGCAGAGAGUGAUAGAGUCUGUAUAGUCUCCUUUGAUGAAAUGAGUCCACAUACAGGCCUCUCGUACAAUAUUACAGAAGAUUCAGUUGAAGGUUUUGAGGACUUUGGAUCGCUAGGGAAGACGUCACGGCCUGCCAACCAUGCUCUUGUUUUCAUGGUUAGAGGCCUGUUUGGGAAAUGGAAACACUUGUGGGUUACUUUCUGACGCGUGACUGCACAAGGGCGGACAAACUGCAAGCAUUACUCAAUGAAUGCUUGCAUAAGGUUAAGGCAAUUGGACUACAGCCUAAGGCCGUGGUUUGUGACCAAGGCCCAAGCAAUGUUCGGUUGUACAACAACUUGGGUGUGACAGCAACACAUCCUUUCUUCUUCCACGGGGGAGCCAAGAUCUUUUGCCUGCAUGACCCGCCACACCUGCUAACAAACACGAGAACAAAUUUGGAGAAGUAUGUUUUUGAGGUAACAGGAGAGGAUGGCCGAAAGAAACAUAUCAAGUGGGCACAUAUUCGCGCAUUUUAUGAAAUGGAUUCACAGUUUCCCGUUAGGAAAGGCCAUAAACUGACCAGAGCCCACUUUGCUCUGAACAGCUUCUCCAAAAUGUGAGUCAACAAAGCAGCGCAGGUGCUCAGUCAUUCGGUGUCAGCAGGCAUGUUAACCUAUACAACUAUGGGACGGUUGCCUGGGGGUGCUGCUUAUACUGCGGAUUUCAUUGCAAUGAUAGAUGGACUGUUUGAUGCAUUUAACGGCAGGUGUCUCAAGACAAUAAAAAAAUUGAGGAGGCCCAUGUCUGCAAAAUCGGCGCAUUGGUCAUUCUUUGAAUCAUGCCUGCCUGUACUGCAAAGCUUAAAAGUGCUUGGAGUGAAAAAUGUAUUGUUUGUCCAAGGAUGGCGGCUUGCAAUUUCUUGCAUUGCACAGCUGUGGCAGCACAUAAAGGAAAAUACAGACACUUGUUUCAUGCUCACAUCCAGGGUUAAUCAGGAUGUCGUUGAGAAUUUAUUCGGACCAUUCGGCGAAAGGGCGGAUUCCGAGAAAACCCAUCAGCAAAGGAAUUUCGCUGUGCUUUAAGAAUGGUCAUGGUAGCUGAACUGAUAAAGCCAUCUCUAAGUGCAAACUGUAAACCUGACGAUGCUAAAUUUCUCGUAUCACUGCAAACACUGACAAAAGACAGAGUCAAGAAACCAUCUCCAUCUAUCUCCCAUCACAAUAGGGCACAACAGAACACUGUAUUUUGCAGCACGUAACUUGAUCUCCCGGAAGAGAACACACUGGCUUACAUCGCAGGCCACAUCUGCCGUAGAUUCCUCACCCCACAUGAACUGAUCUCAAAAUGUCACAUAUGCAGAGAGGUUCUGCUACGACCUGAUACAACCUUAGUUGAUCCUGCCCUCAUAUUCAUCCACCAUAAGGCAUAUGACACAUCGACAUCAGACUUCGGCUCCCUGAUGGUGCCUUCAGAACAGUUUCUCGCAUUCUGUCAGGUGUGCGAGAAAGUGUUCUGCACAGAAUUCGACAAUGCUAACAUGACCAGGAACAACAUCUCCAAUCUAAUAAAUACAGCGAUACACAAUACUAAGGAAUACAAGGACAUGAACUUAUGCUGCCAGAGAGUCAAGGUGCGAAUUGUAGCGAUCUUUGUCAGUGUCCGCAUACAUUAUGGACUCAAAUUGAAGAAUAGAGACCUGCAGGACCUGACCAUUAAAAGGAAGUGUAAGAAAGUUCUAAAAGUGACGCAUAAGUAAAGUACAUGAUGUCAAAUUAUUUAUUGAUGAAAUGUCAGAAAUGAAGUGUUGACCAUUGAUUAGUAUUAUGAAUUAUUUAAAAUUGAGUGGGUUGGUGCAAUAUACUACUAAUGUGCCGUUAUGAGAUAUUCACAUUAAAAUCUCACCAUGUAUGACAGAAUGAAAGUUGUUAUCCUUGCUUGUUUAUGGAUCUUGCCUUUGAAUUAUUAAAUUGAGUGGGUUAGUGCAAUGUUGGUUCCAUGUGGUGCUAAUGUGUCGUUAUCAGAUAUUCCGUGUUAAAAAGACAAAUAAAUCACAAUAAAAGCGAAAA